rnacentral:rRNA from 1 species
CCUACGGGGGGCAGCAGUGAGGAAUAUUGGUCAAUGGACGCAAGUCGGAACCAGCCAUGCCGCGUGCAGGAAGACGGCGCGAUGAGUUGUAAACUGCUUUUGUACGAGGGUAAACGCAGAUACGCGUAUCUGUCUGAAAGUAUCGUACGAAUAAGGAUCGGCUAACUCCGUGCCAGCAGCCGCGGUAAUACGGAGGAUUCAAGCGUUAUCCGGAUUUAUUGGGUUUAAAGGGUGCGUAGGCGGAUUUUUAAGUCAGCGGUAAAAUGUCCGGGCUCAACCCGGGCCGGCCGUUGAAACUGGGGUUCUUGAGUGGGCGAGCAGUAUGCGGAAUGCGUGUUGUAGCGGUGAAAUGCCUAGCUUUCACGCAGAACUCCGAUUGCGCAGGCAGCAUCCCGGCGCCCGACUGACGCUGAGGCACGAACGCGUGGGGAUCGUACCGGAUUCGAUACCCCUGUAGUC